AUAGCCGGCUUCAAAAGAAUUCUCUAUUUCUUUACUGCUAAAUCCAGCACUCAAUCACUGGUUCACAGUGUAUUCGUGUAUUCUGUAUCAGAAAAUAGCCCAUUCGUCUUUCC
rnacentral:rRNA from 1 species